rnacentral:rRNA from 1 species
UGGGGAAUUUUGGACAAUGGGGGAAACCCUGAUCCAGCCAUCCCGCGUGUGCGAUGAAGGGCCUUCGGGUUGUAAAGCACUUUUGGCAGGAAAGAAACGUCGCGGGUUAACACCCCGCGAAACUGACGGUACCUGCAGAAUAAGCACCGGCUAACUACGUGCCAGCAGCCGCGGUAAUACGUAGGGUGCAAGCGUUAAUCGGGAAUUACUGGGCGUAAAGCGUGCGCAGGCGGUUCGGAAAGAAAGAUGUGAAAUCCCAGAGCUUAACUUUGGAACUGCAUUUUUAACUACCGGGGCUAGAGUGUGUCAGAGGGAGGUGGAAUUCCGCGUGUAGCAGUGAAAUGCGUAGAUAUGCGGAGGAACACCGAUGGCGAAGGCAGCCUCCUGGGAUAACACUGACGCUCAUGCACGAAAGCGUGGGGAGCAAACAGGAUUAGAUACCCUGGUAGUCCACGCCCUAAACGAUGUCAACUAGCUGUUGGGGCCUUGCGGGCCCUGGUAGCGCAGCUAACGCGUGAAGUUGACCGCCUGGGGGAGUACGGUCGCAAGAUUAAAACUCAAA